rnacentral:rRNA from 1 species
CCUACGGGAGGCAGCAGUGAGGAAUAUUGGUCAAUGGUCGUAAGACUGAACCAGCCAAGUAGCGUGCGGGAUGACGGCCCUAUGGGUUGUAAACCUCUUUUAUGCGGGGAUAAAGGUGUUCACGUGUGGUGGUUUGCAGGUACCGCAUGAAUAAGGACCGGCUAAUUCCGUGCCAGCAGCCGCGGUAAUACGGAAGGUCCGGGCGUUAUCCGGAUUUAUUGGGUUUAAAGGGAGCGUAGGCCGGUUGUUAAGCGUGCCGUGAAAUGCCGUGGCUCAACCAUGGGAGUGCGGCGCGAACUGGAGAGCUUGAGUGCGCGGAAGGUAUGCGGAAUUCGUGGUGUAGCGGUGAAAUGCUUAGAUAUCACGAAGAACCCCGAUUGCGAAGGCAGCAUGCCGCAGCGUUACUGACGCUGAAGCUCGAAAGCGCGGGUAUCGAACAGGAUUAGAUACCCGGGUAGUC